CAAAAAGUAGUUUAAGAAAAAUUUUAGCUUUGGGAGCUUAAGAUGUGGUUAUACCACCUUUUUGA
rnacentral:tRNA from 1 species